AGCCCAGGAGGCUGAGGCCACUGAGUCCCAUGAGUUCUCCUGCCAUGGCCUGGACAGUGCUUCUGCUCACACUCCUCACUUAUGGCUCAGGAACUCAUUCUCAGACUGUGACUCAGGAGCCAUCACUGUCAGUGUCUCCAGGAGGGACAGUCAAACUCACCUGUGGCCUUAACUCGGGAUCAGUCACUAGUAGUAACUACCCCAGCUGGUACCAGCAGACUCCAGGCCAAGCUCCAAAAUUGCUUAUGUACAACACCAACAACCGCCCCUCUGGAGUCCCUGAUCGCUUCUCUGGCUCCAUUUCUGGCAACAAAGCUGCCCUCACCAUCACUGGGGCUCAGACAGAUGACGAGGCUGAUUAUUACUGUAAUCUCUACAUGGGUAGUAGUGUUGCUGUGUUCGGCGGAGGGACGAGGCUGACUGUCCUAGGUGGGCCCAAGUCAGCACCCUCAGUCACACUGUUCCCACCAUCCACUGAGGAACUCAGCACCAACAAGGCCACACUGGUGUGUCUCAUCAGUGACUUCUACCCUGGCAGUGUGACUGUGGGCUGGAAGGAAGAUGGCACCACCAUCACCAAAGGAGUGCAGACCACCAAGCCCUCCAAGCAGAGCAACAGCAAGUACGCAGCCAGCAGCUACCUGAGCCUGACAGCCAGUGACUGGAAAUCUCAUAGCUCAUACAGCUGCCAGGUGACGCAUGAAGGCAGCACCGUGGAGAAGACAGUGCGCCCCAGCUGAGUGUGAAGUCCCAGGCCCUCCUCGCCCCCAUACUUGAGGAUGGCUACACAGGACCCUGGGUGGGUCUCUCCUUCCACCUUAACCAUCCCCACCUCAUCUGCCUGGAUUCAACCAACUCUCAAUAAAAUGUCCUCACUUUAA